UUACACCACACAAACUUUCAACCAUCUCAAUUCCUCUUCUCCUUUCACCAACCUUCACCGCCGAACAUCAUCAAACAACCCAUUAUCAACUCUCCUUCUCACUGUCAUGUAUAUAUCCUCACCGAUCAAACUUUUGUUCUCCAAUUUUCCCUCUGCCGAUUAAACCCCCACACUUCAACCACUGUGAACAACUACCUCACUUUCCCACUUCAACAACAUAACAGCCACGCUCCCUCUGUAUCUCCACUUCUGCUAGCUUCACACAACAACACUUAUCUCUUUUCCUUCAUCAACAACAACAACACCCUCAAACCUUCUUUAUUAGCCAUGUUCCUAAAAAACAAAUUGGAACCUUAG